UACGUAGGUGGCAAGCAUUGUCCGGAAUUAUUGGGCGUAAAGCGCGCGCAGGCGGUCCUUUAAGUCUGAUGUGAAAGCCCACGGCUCAACCGUGGAGGGUCAUUGGAAACUGGGGGACUUGAGUACAGAAGAGAAGAGUGGAAUUCCACGUGUAGCGGUGAAAUGCGUAGAGAUGUGGAGGAACACCAGUGGCGAAGGCGACUCUUUGGUCUGUAACUGACGCUGAGGCGCGAAAGCGUGGGGAGCAAACAGG
rnacentral:rRNA from 1 species